rnacentral:rRNA from 1 species
AUUGAACGCUGGCGGCAUGCCUUACACAUGCAAGUCGAACGGUAACAGGUCUUCGGAUGCUGACGAGUGGCGAACGGGUGAGUAAUACAUCGGAACGUGCCUAGUAGUGGGGGAUAACUACUCGAAAGAGUGGCUAAUACCGCAUGAGAUCUACGGAUGAAAGCAGGGGAUCGCAAGACCUUGUGCUACUAGAGCGGCCGAUGGCAGAUUAGGUAGUUGGUGGGAUAAAAGCUUACCAAGCCGACGAUCUGUAGCUGGUCUGAGAGGACGAUCAGCCACACUGGGACUGAGACACGGCCCAGACUCCUACGGGAGGCAGCAGUGGGGAAUUUUGGACAAUGGGCGCAAGCCUGAUCCAGCAAUGCCGCGUGCAGGAUGAAGGCCUUCGGGUUGUAAACUGCUUUUGUACGGAACGAAAAGCCCUGGGUUAAUACCCUGGGGUCAUGACGGUACCGUAAGAAUAAGCGCCGGCUAACUACGUGCCAGCCGCCGGCGUAA